rnacentral:misc_RNA from 1 species
AAAGUCGUAACAAGGUUUCCGUAGGUGAACCUGCGGAAGGAUCAUUACAAAUCCAUCCACGUCUCAUACCCUGAGACCACGUUGAAAUGUUCCCCAGGACCGCAGCCCCUCGGCGGAGGUGCCGUGCCCCCGGAUUCGGGGUGCGCGCGCCUCUCCCUGGACGCACGGCCUGGGCUGUUAAACUAGUCAUCUCUGUUGCUCAAAUGUAUCUUGAUUUCAAUCAAACGAAAACUUGUACAACUUAUAACAAUGGAUCUCUAGGCUCUU